AGCAGCCGCGGUAAUUCCAGCUCCAAUAGCGUAUAUUAAAGUUGUUGCAGUUAAAAAGCUCGUAGUUGAAUUUCGGGAUUCUAUCGUUGGUCGGGCUAUUGUCUGUACUGGCGUGUAGAAUUUCUACCUUCUGGGGAACUAUCAUGUUAUUAAUUUAGCGUGGUAGGAAACCAGGACCUUUACCUUGGAAAAAUUAGAGUGUUCAAAGCAGGCUUAUGUCUGAAUACAUUAGCAUGGAAUAAUAAAAUAGGACGGUGGUCCUGUUUUGUUGGUUUCUGAAUCACCGUAAUGAUUAAUAGGGAUAGUUGGGGGCAUUAGUAUUCAAUUGUCAGAGGUGAAAUUCUUGGAUUUAUUGAAGACUAACUACUGCGAAAGCAUUUGCCAAGGAUGUUUUCAUUAAUCAAGAACGAAAGUUAGGGGAUCGAAGACGAUCAGAUACCGUCGUAGUCUUAACCAUAAACUAUGCCGACUAGGGAUCGGACGAUGUUAACUUUUCUUGACUCGUU
rnacentral:rRNA from 1 species